rnacentral:rRNA from 1 species
GAUCCAGCCAGUAGAGGUGGGCGAAGAAGGUCAACGGAGUGAAAAGCACUUUAAGGUGGGAGGAAGGGUGGUAAGGUAAUACGUUCGCUCUUUGACGUUACCGCCAGAAUAAGCACCGGCUAACUCUGUGCCAGCAGCCGCGGUAAUACAGAGGGUGCAAGCGUUAAUCGGAAUUACUGGGCGUAAAGCGCGCGUAGGUGGUUUGUUAAGUUGAAUGUGAAAUCCCCGGGCUCAACCUGGGAACUGCAUCCAAAACUGGCAAGCUAGAGUAUGGUAGAGGGUANUGGAAUUUCCUGUGUACCGGUGAAAUGCCUAGAUUUANGAAGGAACCCCCGUGGCGAAGGCAACUACCUGGACUGAUCCUGACACUUAGGUGCCAAAGCGUUGGGAGCAAUACAGGAUUAGAUCCCUGGGUAGUCCACGCCGUAAACGAUG